UACAGAGGGUGCGAGCGUUGUUCGGAAUUACUGGGCGUAAAGCGCGCGCAGGCGGCCUUUUAAGUCUGACGGUGAAAUGCCGGGGCUCAACCCCGUGCCCGCCGCGGAUACUGGGAGGCUGGAGACACGUAGAGGCAAGCGGAAUUCCGGGUGUAGCGGUGGAAUGCGUAGAGAUCGGGAAGAACAUCGGUGGCGAAAGCGCUCUACUGGACGGUAUCUGACACUGAGGGACGAAAGCUAGGGGAGCGAAUGGG
rnacentral:rRNA from 1 species